GCCUACAGCCAUACCACUGUGAAUGCUUCCAAUCUCAUCUGAUCUCAAAAGCUAAGCAGGGUUGGGCCUGGUUAAUAUUUGGGUGGGAGAACUAUACUGUAUCAGUACUCAGCAGUGCGUA
ensembl:rRNA 5S_rRNA 5S ribosomal RNA